rnacentral:sRNA from 1 species
UUUUUUCCUUUUUUUUU